rnacentral:rRNA from 1 species
GACGAACGCUGGCGGCGUGCUUAACACAUGCAAGUCGAACGGAAAGGCCCUGCUUUUGUGGGGUUCUCGAGUGGCGAACGGGUGAGUAACACGUGAGUAACCUGCCCUUGACUUUGGGAUAACUUCAGGAAACUGGGGCUAAUAUCGGAUAGGAGCUCCUGCUCCAUGGUGGGGGUUGGAAAGUUUCGGCGGUUGGGGAUGGACUCGCGGCUUAUCAGCUUGUUGGUGGGGUAGUGGCUUACCAAGGCUUUGACGGGUAGCCGGCCUGAGAGGGUGACCGGCCACAUUGGGACUGCGGUACGGCCCAGACGCCUACGGGAGGCAGCAGUGGGGAAUAUUGCACAAUGGGCGGAAGCCUGAUGCAGCAACGCCGCGUGCGGGAUGACGGCCUUCGGGUUGAAAACCGCUUUCGCCUGUGACGAAGCGGGAGUGACGGUAAUGGGUAAAGAAGCACCGGCUAACUACGUG